rnacentral:tRNA from 1 species
UUAAUUGAAGCCAAAAAGAGGCUUAUCACUGUUAAUGAUAGAACUGAGACUGAUCUCCAAUUAAG